rnacentral:rRNA from 1 species
AGGGUUCGAUUCUGGCUCAGGAUGAACGCUGGCGGCGUGCUUAACACAUGCAAGUCGAACGGAGUUUUUAAACGGAACGUUUCGGAUGGAAGUUUAAGAACUUAGUGGCGGACGGGUGAGUAACGCGUGGGUAACCUGCCUCAUACAGGGGGAUAACAGUUAGAAAUGACUGCUAACACCGCAUAAUAUAGCGAAACCGCAUGAUUUUUGCUAUCAAAUAUUUAUAGGUAUGAGAUGGGCCCGCGUCUGAUUAGCUAGUUGGUGGGGUAAAAGCCUACCAAGGCGACGAUCAGUAGCCGGCUUGAGAGAGUGACCGGCCACAUUGGGACUGAGACACGGCCCAAACUCCUACGGGAGGCAGCAGUGGGGAAUAUUGGACAAUGGGGGAAACCCUGAUCCAGCGACGCCCGCGUGAGUGAAGAAGUAUUUCGGUAUGUAAAGCUCUAUCAGCAGGGAAGAUAAUGACAGUACCUGACUAAGAAGCCCCGGCUAACUACGUGCCAGCAGCAGC